GGUUAUGGGGCGGGUUGAAUUUCAAUCUCUUCGGGGAUUAAUUUUCUCCCACCUCAAAAAUAUGCUAGUCCUUUCAUGAUUAUGUGAUAGGUGGUGCAUGGCCGUUCUUAGUUCGUGGAGUGAUCUGUCUGCUUAAUUGCGUUUCACUAAAGGCGUCAUUAAUUUUUUGUGCCUGUGUUUGACCCCGCACUUCGGUGCGCGCGCGUCUUUCACACACAAUUACUUUGACGUCUGAAAGCAACGAACGUGACCGUAACCUCUUGUUGCCUUCUCUUCUCUUCGGAGAAUGCUGCUUUAUACCUUCACGGGUGAAUCGCAGUAUACGGAGGCUUAAUACUCAGUAACUAGAGGGACCGCUGUUACUUUCUUUAAACCAGAGGAAGGUUGCGGCAAUAACAGGUCUGUGAUGCCCUUAGAUGUUCCGGGCUGCACACGUGAUACAUUGAUUACUUCAGUGAGUAUCUACGUAUUACUGCGCAGCAGUAUACGCGUGUUGUUUAUUGCUUCGGCAAUUUACUUUGCGCUAUACGCCGCCUUAACCUACUUCGAAAGUAUGUGGGUAACCAAUUAGAAGUAGUGAUUUCCCUCUUUAUAAGCACACUUAUAUGGAGCAUCAUCACCCGGCAUGCCUUGUGCAUGUUUUGUGUGUGUUGUUUGUCUACAUGUGCUUUUGUCAAUUCAUAGUGGGGACAGACCAUUGUUAAUUGUUGGUCUCGGUCUUAACUAGGAAUGCCUUGUACGAGUUUUUGGUUCAACAAACCACUCGGAAUACGUCCCUGCCCUUUGUACACACCGCCCGUCGCUCUUACCGAUGGAUUAUAUUAUGAGUUGGCAGGACCGUCCAGGAAAUGCCUGCGAAUAAU
rnacentral:rRNA from 1 species